ensembl:lncRNA
UUUGUCUGUGAAGCAUGCUGGUCAGACAGUUAGGUUCUCUGGCAAUUUUUCUAAGGCUUUGAAAUGUGUGUUUUGUAUCGUUGUCUCCAAUAAUAUUAAUUCAUUGUUUAUUUAUUGAUUUAUUCAUUCAUUCAUUUAUGUUUGUGUUGCUGUGUGUGCUUCUGUAUUGUUAACAACAUUAAAAUUCAGCUUUGAUUUGAAUUAGUUUGUAGGAUUAUUCAAUUAUUUCCUGUUUCCUAACAUGUUAGCAUUAUAGUUACUGUGGCAAAAGAAUUAAUAUAUAUGUUGUUUCAUGGUUUACUGGUGUUCAGCUUCCACUAUACCCCCUGUUUCUGGUAUAUUUGUUAGUUUAUUUAAAUUGGUGGUUUCUUCUUUAGUUGGAUGUUAUUGUUAUUGUUUUUUGUUUUUUUGUUUAAAUUAAUAAGUGCUGUAUUGGAAUGACAUUUUUUUACCUUUUGUUUUCUCUUUCCUAUUACUUAUUGUUCCUAAUUUAUUUAUGUAGAUCUCCACCCAGCUGUUUCCAUUUGGUGUUAUAUUUGGUUUUAUAUUUGAAAUUUGACAUUUUAUGCGCUGUCCAAUAAAGGCUUUAUUUAAAUCUUCAGCAGAAUGUGUCACAUAUUAUCCUUCUGAAUGACAUCAGUCAAGUUUGAAGUAGAAAUAUUGUUUCAGUGACAAGUUAUGGUCCACAAUCACUUUUUGGCAGGCUGAAAAUGGCAUAUUAUGGGUAUUAUUGUCCCUUUAAAAGUUAUUCAGCAGUUCUAAGGGACUGGUGGAGAUAUAAUAUUUGACAUAUGACCCAUCUGAAUGACUUCCAGCAAGUCUGAAGCAGAAAUAUUGUUUCAGUGACAAGAUAUAGGUAGCAAUCACCUUUUGGCAGGUUGGAAAUUGCAUAUGAUCAGUUCUAUUGUUCCCUUAAAGGUUAUUAAGGAUUUCCUAGAGACUGUUUGGGAUAUGAUGUGCCACAUAUGAUCCUUUUGGAUGAUACCCAACAAGUUUGAUGCAGAAAUACUGUUUCAGUGACAAGAUAUAGGCCACAAUCACUUUUGGCAGGCUGAAAAUGGCAUAUUAUCGGUAUUAAUGUUCUCUCUCUUACCCUUUACCCGCCCCUGUUGCUUGUCUUGUGUUUCUAUGGUGUAUUGAUAGUCAUGUGCUUUUGUGCUGAGGUGUUUUUUCUGUUAUCAAACUGUUCUCCCACUAGGAGCUCAGUCUGAGUGGAGUUUUUUUUUCUCCUCCUCUUACCUCAUGUAGUGUAUUUUUGUUGUUUUUUCCUAUCAGCCUACCUUUCUGACAUGUCUGCCCAAUGUGAUGUUUGUGUAAAGUUGGUCAGAAGGUUCCUUUGUAAGUGCGCACGCGCCAUUAGCGUGCUGCCUGCUGUAACCCUAAUUUCCCUCGGGAUGAAUAAAGUAUUCUGAUUCUGAUUCUUUUAAAAGUUAUUCAGCAGUUCUUGGAGAGUGUUUGGGAUAUAAUAUGUCACAUGGAUGACAUCCACCAAUUUUGAAGCGGAAACAUUGUUUCAGUCACAAGUUAUGGGCGGCAAUCAGUUUUUGGCAGGUCGAAAAUGUCAUAUGGGUAUUAAUGUUCCUGUAAAAGUUAUUCAGCAGUCCUUAGAGACUGUUUGAGAUAUAAUGUGUCACAUAUAACCCUUCUGAAUGACAUCCACCAAGUUUGAAGCAGAAAUAUUGUUUCAGUGACAAGAUAUAGUCCACAAUCACUUUUUGGCAGGCUGAAAAUGGCAUAUUAUCAAUGUUAAUGUUCCUUUAAAAGUUAUUCAGCAGUUCUUAGAGAGUGUUUGGGAUAUAAUAUGUCACAUGUAACCCUUCUGGAUGAUAUCCAACAAUUUUGAAGCAGAAACAUUGUUUCAGUGACAAGAUAUAGGCGGCAAUCACUUUUUGGCAGGUCGAAAAUGGCAUAUUAUGGGUAUUAAUGGUCCUUUAAUAGUUAUUCAACAGUCCUUAG